UACGUAGGGUGCAAGCGUUAAUCGGAAUUACUGGGCGUAAAGCGUGCGCAGGCGGCUUUGCAAGACAGAUGUGAAAUCCCCGGGCUCAACCUGGGAACUGCAUUUGUGACUGCAAGGCUAGAGUACGGUAGAGGGGGAUAGAAUUCCGCGUGUAGCAGUGAAAUGCGUAGAUAUGCGGAGGAACACCGAUGGCGAAGGCAAUUCCCUGGACCUGUACUGACGCUCAUGCACGAAAGCGUGGGGAGCAAACAGG
rnacentral:rRNA from 1 species